GAUGAACGCUGGCGGCGUGCCUAAUACAUGCAAGUCGAGCGAACAGACGAGGAGCUUGCUCCUCUUACGUUAGCGGCGGACGGGUGAGUAACACGUGGAGAACCUACCUAUAAGACGGGGAUAACUUCUGGAAACGGGUGCUAAUACCGGAUAAUAUAUUUAACCGCAUGUUUCAAGAUUGAAAGACGGUUUUGCUUCAACUUAUGAUGGUACCGCGUCGUAUUUGCUAGUUGGUAAGGUAAAGGCUUACCAAGGCAAAGUAUCGUAGCCGACCUGAGAGGGUGACCGGCAAAAUGGGACUUGAGCACGGCUCCAACGCCCUCGGGAAGGAACAAGAGGGGAACCUCCGGAAUUGGCGGAAGGCUUGCCGGACAACGCCGGGGUGAGUAAUGAAGGUCUCGGGACCGAAAACUCCUGUUAUAAGGGAGGAACAAAUGUGUAAGUAAAUACGCACCAAUUGACGGUAACUACCCAGAAAGCCACGGCUAACUACGUG
rnacentral:rRNA from 1 species